UUGACCUCAGAUCGGGUGGGACUGCCCGCUGAACUUAAGCAUAUCAAUAAGCGGAGGA
rnacentral:rRNA from 1 species